GAUUUCUGGCGAACCGUUGCGGCCCGUGCUCUUUAAGGGCGUGAGUGCCGUGCCGUGUUUGUCAUCCUUCCAGAGAGCUGCGUCUACCAUUCACUUGGCCGGACGUACGCGAUCUGGAUCGAUUACUUUGAAAAAAUUAGAGUGUUUAAAGCAGGCUCUCGCUCUUAAUACAUUAGCAUGGAAUAAUAAUUUAGGACUUCGGUUCUAUUUUGUCGGGGGUGCUAGUAUUCCGCGGCCAGAGGUGAAAUUCUUGGAUUCGCGGAAGACUAACUACUGCGAAAGCAUU
rnacentral:rRNA from 1 species